rnacentral:rRNA from 1 species
CAUUCCAAACUGGGUAUCUAGAGUGCAGGAGAGGAAAGCGGAAUUCCUAGUGUAGCGGUGAAAUGCGUAGAUAUUAGGAGGAACACCAGUGGCGAAGGCGGCUUUCUGGACUGUAACUGACACUGAGGCAUGAAAGCGUGGGUAGCAAACAGGAUUAGAUACCCUGGUAGUCCACGCCGUAAACGAUGGGUACUAGGUGUAGGAGGUAUCGACCCCUUCUGUGCCGCCGUUAACACAAUAAGUACCCCGCCUAGGGAGUACGGUCGCAAGACUAAAACUCAAAGGAAUUGGACGGGGGCCCGCACAAGCAGCGGAGCAUGUGGUUUAAUUCGAAGCAACGCGAAGAACCUUACCUAGACUUGACAUCUCCUGAAUUACCCUUAAUCGGGGAAGCCCUUCGGGGCAGGAAGACAGGUGGUGCAUGGUUGUCGUCAGCUCGUGUCGUGAGAUGUUGGGUUAAGUCCCGCAACGAGCGCAAUCCUUAUUUUUAGUUGCUACCAUUUGGUUGAGCACUCUAAAGAGACUGCCCGGGUUAACCGGGAGGAAGGUGGGGAUGACGUCAAAUCAUCAUGCCCCUUAUGUCUAGGGCUACACACGUGCUACAAUGGUGAGAACAAAGAGACGCAAGACCGCGAGGUGGAGCCAAUCUCACAAAACUCAUCCCAGUUCGGAUUGCAGGCUGAAACUCGCCUGCAUGAAGCCGGAGUUGCUAGUAAUCGCGAAUCAGCAUGUCGCGGUGAAUACGUUCCCGGGCCUUGUACACACCGCCCGUCACACCAUGAGAGUUGGCAAUACCCGAAGUCCGUGGGAUAACCGCAAGGAGUC